rnacentral:lncRNA from 1 species
AUGAUCAUCUCACCUUCUGCACUGAACCCUUCGGGUAGGAAUUUGCACAACUCAGGUUCAGGACCUGUACUUUUUGGGGGACAUUUCUCCAUACUGGUUGUCCAUUGCCCUGCAGCUGAACAUACCCCAGCUUUUCCGCCUGCUGAUAUUUGGCCUGCAGUCAACGCUGCUGACAGUCAUCAUCUUAGCAGGCAGCGGAUCCGCAGAAGACACCGGCUGUCUCUGCGGUGCCCUGAUGACCAUCCUGAGAACAGGAAACAGCAAGACUGAGAUGAAGGUACCGAGGAGCACUUCCAUUCAAGAUGAACUCGCCAAUACCAUUCCGCUA